UAGAGUUUGAUCCUGGCUCAGAUUGAACGCUGGCGGCAGGCCUAACACAUGCAAGUCGAGCGGAUGAAGAGAGCUUGCUCUCUGAUUCAGCGGCGGACGGGUGAGUAAUGCCUAGGAAUCUGCCUGGUAGUGGGGGACAACGUCUCGAAAGGGACGCUAAUACCGCAUACGUCCUACGGGAGAAAGCAGGGGACCUUCGGGCCUUGCGCUAUCAGAUGAGCCUAGGUCGGAUUAGCUAGUUGGUGAGGUAAUGGCUCACCAAGGCGACGAUCCGUAACUGGUCUGAGAGGAUGAUCAGUCACACUGGAACUGAGACACGGUCCAGACUCCUACGGGAGGCAGCAGUGGGGAAUAUUGGACAAUGGGCGAAAGCCUGAUCCAGCCAUGCCGCGUGUGUGAAGAAGGUCUUCGGAUUGUAAAGCACUUUAAGUUGGGAGGAAGGGCAGUAAAUUAAUACUUUGCUGUUUUGACGUUACCGACAGAAUAAGCACCGGCUAACUCUGUGCCAGCAGCCGCGGUAAUACAGAGGGUGCAAGCGUUAAUCGGAAUUACUGGGCGUAAAGCGCGCGUAGGUGGUUUGUUAAGUUGGAUGUGAAAUCCCCGGGCUCAACCUGGGAACUGCAUUCAAAACUGACAAGCUAGAGUAUGGUAGAGGGUGGGGAAUUUCCUGUGUAGCGGGAAAUGCGUAGAUAUAGGAAGGAACACCAGGGCGAAGGCGACCACCGGACGAUACGACACGAGGGGAAAGCGGAGCAAUGGACCCGGGGAUCCU
rnacentral:rRNA from 1 species